rnacentral:rRNA from 1 species
GACGAACGCUGGCGGCGUGCUUAACACAUGCAAGUCGAACGGAAAGGCCCCCUUGUGGGGUACUCGAGUGGCGAACGGGUGAGUAACACGUGAGUAACCUACCCUUGACUUUGGGAUAACUUCAGGAAACUGGGGCUAAUACCGGAUAGGAGCUCCUGCUGCAUGGUGGGGGUUGGAAGGUUUCGGCGGUUGGGGAUGGACUCGCGGCUUAUCAGCUUGUUGGUGGGGUAGUGGCUCACCAAGGCUUUGACGGGUAGCCGGCCUGAGAGGGUGACCGGCCACAUUGGGACUGAGAUACGGCCCGGACUCCUACGGGAGGCAGCAGUGGGGAAUAUUGCACAAUGGGCGGAAGCCUGAUGCAGCAACGCCGCGUGCGGGAUGACGGCCUUCGGGUUGUAAACCGCUUUCGCCUGUGACGAAGCGUGAGUGACGGUAAUGGGUAAAGAAGCACCGGCUAACUACGUG